CGCCAGACUCCUACGGGAGGCAGCAGUGGGGGAUAUUGCACAAUGGGGGGAACCCUGAUGCAGCGACGCCGCGUGGGUGAAGAAGCGCCUCGGCGCGUAAAGCCCUGUCAGCAGGGAAGAAAAUGACGGUACCUGACUAAGAAGCCCCGGCUAACUACGUGCCAGCAGCCGCGGUAAUACGGGGGGUGCAAGCGUUGUCCGGAAUCAUUGGGCGUAAAGCGUUCGUAGGCGGCAAGGUAAGUCUGAUGUUAAAGCCCGGGGCUCAACUCCGGUUCGGCAUUGGAUACUAUCUAGCUAGAAUGUGGUAGAGGUAAAGGGAAUUCCUGGUGUAGCGGUGAAAUGCGUAGAUAUCAGGAGGAACAUCGGUGGCGAAAGCGCUUUACUGGACCAUUAUUGACGCUGAGGAACGAAAGCCAGGGGAGCAAAUGGGAUUAGAUACCCCCGUAA
rnacentral:rRNA from 1 species